GAAUAAUCUAUCAAGUGACGAAUAAAAAUAUUUUCUAAUAUUAAAGAAAGCAUUUUUGCUCAUUACUUUAAACGUUGGUGUAUGCUCAUCAUACACUUAAUCAUCUAUCACGUGUUUUUUCACUUAAUCUUAGUUAUUUUUUUUUUAAAUUGAAAAAGUAACAUUCAAUGUGAAAAUUAAUUGUACUUAGGUAAAAGUACACACGACAAAUGAUUAGCUGUUUGGUGAGCAUACACCAUAGUUAUAGUGGUGAGCAAAAAUGCACCCAAUAUCAAAGGUUUACUGCUAACAGAAGAGCUCCAUGGUAUGUGUAGAGACAUAAGUUUACCACAUUUAAUAGGAGAAUGACACGUCAAUGUGACGGUUGUACCCUUGCCAUUGUGAUUGGACUACAUAAUUACACUGCAGGAUUAAGAUGUAGUUUAUCCUAAGGUAAUUGGGGCUUUAUGCCACUAACGCAUCAUGGGGCUCUCCGGGCCCCCUAGGUGUGGGCAUGGGCUCAUCAGGCUGCCUAUAAUGCAUUCUUCCAUCAGGGCUAUUCCUAGUUUAAUGAUGGUAGGGCACCUACUCUUCGGAGUCUUUCCUUGGGUGUCCAGCACACCUGCGAUUUUACCAACAGGGACCUUAAGGGUUACUAGCUGACAGGAUUCUGGAGACUGACCUGCACCAUCAAGACUGCUUAGUAUGUUUUAUAGCCUCCCCUCCCAGUUGCCUACUAGGGUUUCUUCCUUAUAUAUAGCCAAGUCAUUUAAAGAAAAUGGUAAUCACCAUUUACUACUCAGAACUCUCUCAAGUUCAAUUGUUCUCUCUAUUGCUUUUUUGACUUAGGCAUUGGAGGCCGUUUGGAAGACAGCCUCGCCCCUUCUCAGGAUGUUCAUCAUUUUAGUUGUGUACAAAAUUUUCAUCCACAAUAUGUGAGAGUAUCUUCAAUAGACUAACCAAAAUAUUUGGUUGAAACUUUCUUGUAGGCCCUUUGGCGAACAACCUCCCCCUUUUUUAGGGCGUUCAUCAAUUAGGCUAACGGUGUUUGUUCUCUUACAGGUGGAAUUUCACAUAUACGAGCUACACUGAGGGCUGGUGUAGGAGAAGAUUGAGAUGAAUUUCUACGAACAAAAAGUAAAGAAAAGGAAGUGUUAUAAAUUGACAAGAAAGGAUGCAUGAGAGAAAAACUCCAUCAAAUAUCAAAUAUGACGUUAAAAGAGGAAGAAUAACAUUUUGUUGGAUUUUUUGGGUUGCUUAGGGUAUCAAUGAAAGGUGGAGUUGAUGAGCACUUUGAUGUUUAAUAGGUCACGCUCAUGCAUCAUAUUAAUCCAUACCUAUGUAUCUGCUAGUGCACUUAUCUCAUGUUCAUGCAUUACAACUAUGUAGUCUUUAUUUUGCAUUUAUAUGCAUCACCUAGCUAUAUAAGGAUGGCUUGUACCCUUAAUUUUGACUUUCGAAUAAUCAAUCUACAGAAUAUCUAAAUUUCUCUCGUUGGGAGUGCUAAUGUCCUUGCGUUAUGCGUCAGUUGCAUUGGAAAAAUUGAAGAUUGAAGAUGCUUUGCUGUGCUGCUAGUCCUCUUCUUAUAGGGGUUCAAUACACUAGAGAUGACCAAACUUGGACAAAAGUUAUAAGUGGGUUUGUUGAAAGUGAAUAGAGAAAGAAGAUACUUUGCAUGAGUGCCUAAAUAAUUGGACUACUUUCCAUAUUGUCAAUUGGUUUUAUAGUGGAACUACAACUUUUUUUUAAGGCUAGUAAGAAAAAUGACAAGUCCAAUCCAAGUGAUAUUUUCUUGUAAAGAAAUCUGUUACUUUUUCUGUGUGACUUAGGUGUUCAUGUAAAUCUUCACCCCCUACCUUAUAUAUAGUUUUAAUCCUAGUCUUACCAUCCCACUCCUACUCAAUUCAAGAUGCUUUUUUUUUCUUUCUGAUUACACAUUAAUAAAUAAUGUCAUUAACCAAUUGUAAUUGCAAGUGGUCAAUUGUGUUAAUGGUUAAGAUCUUCUUAUUCAACCCACUACGUUUCAGAUUCAAACAUUUUCCUUUCUUUUAGUGUAGAAUAUGUAGUGUAGAAUAUGGUUUGUUAUAAAAAAAUCCAAUUAAAAGAAACUUUAAUUCAGAUGGCAUCACUGGUGGUUUUGAUAUAUACUUGCAAUGCAGCAUGCACCACUUAAAGGCAUGCAAAGAGAAAAUAGAAUGGGUUGACCUCAUGACCUGAGUCGUUCAUGGCGGCCUGUCUCUCUCUUUCGUACUUAUUCCAAGAUCGAUGUACAAGAUUUCAACGUCGAAAUUAACAUCUUUCUAUCUUUUCUUGAUAACUAGUCGAAAUUUAAAAUUUUUUCGUCGUUUGAUGUUUCUGGUAGGUAAAAAGGUUGACUGCGAGAGGUGGAGGCAUCUUUUCAGUUUCACUCUUCAGUUUUAUUUUCAUAUUUCUUUUCAACCCUUUUUGGACAAUUUUUCUCUUCACUGUCUUGGAAAGUUCUAACAUUCCUCCAUGCAUGCCCUUUGCCAUUUGGAAAUUUUUUUUGUUCUUUUCUUUCUGGAAAACACUUCUAUAAGAAUUCUUCAAUAACUUCACAAACUAAAAUGUUUUAUUUUUCUUCAUAAGGAGAUAUUUAUAGGAACAAAACUCGAAUGUUUUAUUUUUCUUCACAAAGAGAUACUUAUAAGAACCAAACGAAGCAAUAAUAAGAAAUAAAUUAAAUCAAAUCUUUGCCCAAAAGGGAAAUCUAACCAAACCAAAUCAAAUCAAAUUUUUAAAAUACUUUCCUUUAUAUUUCUAUCAUCAAAUUCAUAACAUAGAAAUUUUAAUCUAAUCCUGUUGGAUACAAUCCUGAAUGUUAGUCUUAAUAUCUAUUUUACGUGCAUUGAUCAACAUUCACACUUGUUCUUAAUGAUGGUUGUAAUUUGGUUUUUAUUUUUACACUAGAGCUAGAAGACUCCGCUUCAUGUUGAUUAUAUAUUCUUAUAAAUGAACUAUUAAGAUUUAUGCCUUAAAAAUGACUCUUUUAGUGUGAUAUCUUGCUUUACUUCUAGUUCAAUUUCUCCUCCUUGGUCACUCCAAGCUCGUGGGAAAAAUUGUAAUUUGUGGUUGCCGAACAUAGUUUUCUGUUUUUUCUCAUACAUUUCGAAAAUGGAAUACAAUUGCUGACAAAUUAGCCAAUUUAGGGUUUCUCUUGUCUUCACUUG
rnacentral:lncRNA from 1 species